GUAGAUAAGGAUAUUUUGUGCAUAUGUGUUUUCAUGAUUGAGUAAUUUAAUGGGUGUUACUACAGGGAAAUCUAACUUCCAUGCAGCAUCUUCACAUGAGACUAAUUCAGGGACAGUCAUAUUACUUUGAUGGGAAAACAAUCAAUCACAUUUUUUUAAUUGGCAGGGUAAAAAAUAUGGCUCCCUUUCACAGAAACAAUUUAGUCAUCAACAUAUAUCCUGGUCAGCAAAUAAGGAGUCCAGUUAUGAAGAAGUGGCUUGGCAGAAAACAAACUAGACAGUUGCUUUUAUUUUGUUGGGAGGAGGGGGGUAAUCCUCAUGGCAUACUGGGUGUACCCUGGGAGGCAGAAAUAAGGGUCUGUCAUAAUUGGAAGAAUUAGGUUUAAAGGCAGUUAAGUUACUCUUUUCCUAGUAUUAGUUCAGUAUACUACAGUUCAGAUGAACCUAAAAAAGCUACAUGCAGUUUUCUCCAUACAAAUAAGAUAUUUUCCUAGUUAUUAAGCUGUCCUAAUUCCCUUACUAGAUACUUUCAUUAGUUUUUAAUGUCUAUGUAUCAAUUCUCUGGAUUUCACAAACAGGAAAAUUUGAAAGAGAGAAAGAAAUAUGGAAACCACAAUGAAACUAUCUAGAAGAACAGUAAGAAAAUGUUUCUAUCAAAGGCUAGUUAUAAUAAAGAUGAACAAAAAAAAUAUCAAGAUAUACACACAGGUAAAAGUGAUUUCCUUUACACAUUCCACUUCCUUGACUGUUUCCUUUAGCUUAACUUAAUAUGCUUUUUAAUUCAGAGCAUAUACAAAACUCUCCAUUCCCACAAAAGAAUACUAAAAGCUUUAUUGAAUGGUCAGGCAGAAGUGGGAGAAAGGAUGGGGAUGGACAAAAGAUAUUCAUUCCUGCAUUUGUUUACUAUGUUCCAGGCACUGGGAAUUCAAAGAUGAACAGGAAAAAGUUUCUAUCUUUGAGGAAUUGACAAAGAUACUUCUUAUCUUUGAAGAUCUCUUUAAGAUAAAAAACUACGCUUACCAAUAUACUAUUAGGAACUGAAUUUUUAAGUCUGAAUAAAAUUGAGCACACACAAUUAUGUCUACACAGACCAU
rnacentral:lncRNA from 1 species